rnacentral:rRNA from 1 species
CCCUUAGAUGGUCUGGGCGGCACGCGCGCUACAAUGAUGCAUUCAAAAAGUCUUCUGACCUUAGAAGGUUGGGUAUUCUCCAAAGUGCAUCGUGAUGGGAAUAGUUUAUUGCAAUUUUUAAUCUUGAACGAGGAAUUCCUAGUAAGUACAGGUCAUCAACUUGUGUUGAUUACGUCCCUGCCCUUUGUACACACCGCCCGUCGCUCCUACUGAUUGAGUGUCUCGGUGAAUUCUUUGAUCUUCUGUCGAUUCAGUUCACUGAUCCGACGGUGGAAAGUUGAAUGAACUUCGUCACUUAGAGGAAGGAAAAGUCGUAACA